GAUGAACGCUGGCGGCGUGCCUAAUACAUGCAAGUCGAGCGAACGGACGAGAAGCUUGCUUCUCUGAUGUUAGCGGCGGACGGGUGAGUAACACGUGGAUAACCUACCUAUAAGACUGGGAUAACUUCGGGAAACCGGAGCUAAUACCGGAUAAUAUUUUGAACCGCAUGGUUCAAAAGUGAAAGACGGUCUUGCUGUCACUUAUAGAUGGAUCCGCGCUGCAUUAGCUAGUUGGUAAGGUAACGGCUUACCAAGGCAACGGUGCAUAGCCGACCUGAGAGGGGGAUCGGCCACACUGGAACUGAGACACGGUCCAGACUCCUACGGGAGGCAGCAGUAGGGAAUCUUCCGCAAUGGGCGAAAGCCUGACGGAGCAACGCCGCGUGAGUGAUGAAGGUCUUCGGAUCGUAAAACUCUGUUAUUAGGGAAGAACAUAUGUGUAAGUAACUGUGCACAUCUUGACGGUACCUAAUCAGAAAGCCACGGCUAACUACGUG
rnacentral:rRNA from 1 species